GGAGCGAUGUCCGAGUUGGCCUAAGGAGCACGACUGGAAAUCGUGUAACGGGUAAUACCUGUUCGUGGGUUCGAAUCCCACUCGCUCCG
rnacentral:tRNA from 1 species